rnacentral:rRNA from 1 species
UACGAAGGGGCUAGCGUUGCUCGGAAUCACUGGGCGUAAAGGUGCGUAGGCGGGUCUUUAAGUCAGGGGUGAAAUCCUGGAGCUCAACUCCAGAACUGCCUUUGAUACUGAGGAUCUUGAGUUCGGGAGAGGUGAGUGGAACUGCGAGUGUAGAGGUGAAAUUCGUAGAUAUUCGCAAGAACACCAGUGGCGAAGGCGGAGCUCGACCUGGCCCGGCUAGUACCGUGAACUGACUGGACGGCCAGGAAAAGGCCGUGGGGAAAGGC